ensembl:lncRNA
GGAAUUUCUAAUAUCUAUAAUUUAAGUGGUUUACAAUAGAAACAUCUGAAAUAGGUCAUUUAAGAUAAAUCCCUCUGGCCAAAUACAGUACACAAUGGCUGAGAAAUGCAUGGUUAAAUCAGUCCUCACUUUAAUUGGUAUUUUAUACCAUUUAUAACAAAAGGAAACUUGUUUUGUUUAAAGGAGGAAACUACAUUAGUAGAGAAAUCCCCAAACCAAACAGAUUUCACAAUAGGAAAAAAGUCAGAAGUACAACUCUAAUGCAUUUAGUUUAAAGCAAAGCAGAAAACAUGGAUCAAUCGUAUUGGUCUCAAAUACACAAUAACAUAAAAAUUAACCCAACGACUUCCUGUGAUGAUAAUGAACAUGAGCAAGGCAUUACUUAACAUAGAACACAACUGUCAAACGAUUACCCAUCCAGCACAGAAUUUUGAUGCAUUUUCCAAAACCGGUUACAAAGUUCCAAAAUGGUACCUCUGAAAUGUCUCGGGUAAACAGGCUUUAAAAAAGACAAAGAAAUUAAACACAAGACAAAAAGAUCACAAGGACACAAUAAACUUUCCCUUCACAGAAGCCGUGAUACUGAAUGGAAACCAUACUAUUCUUAAAAAAAGCAAUCAUAUCCCUAAAAACACUGCUGUCUUAAGAAAAUAGUAGAUAAAAAUAUUCUCUGCAUUUUACAACAAAGGAGGUACAGGGAGCAUUGACGAGUUAGUUCAGUGGCAACACGACUACUCUGCUGCUUUCUCCUCCUCUUCAGCCUUGGCGUCCUUUUCGUCUGCGGCUGCGGCCUGCUGGAGAACGGAGAAAACACACUUUUAUUUUGUUCUGUUUUGCGACAGUGUAAAUGUCACGUGGCGCUCACAAAAGAGGGAAACUUAGAAUACCUCAUCAGCUUUGGCCUCUCCAUUUUCUGCUGGCACCUCUUCCUUUUCUGCCUGAGGUUCUUCUUUUUUCUCCUCUGUCUUGGUUGCCUCUUUCACCUUUUUGGUCUUGGGGGGUGCCUGUGGUGUCAUUAACAAACCAAGCAUCAUGAACCUGCUGUGCAUUUUAUGUGGUUAUAGCGGACGUGUGCAAUGGUAAGAUUUGGCUUUUACCUUUGUCUUUUCUGGCUGGGGUUUUGGUUGCGUCUCUUUCUGUAACACACAAUGAUGUUCCAAAAUUACAAACACAGCAAUGAGAAAAUCCACAGAUUAAUCUGUCAAGGCCGUUGCUGAGCUUUGUAGACUUACCUCUGAUAACCUCUGAGACUUUCUCCUUGGCUGAAGAAAAAACAAAGAAAAACAAAACAAAACACAGAAGGCCACAUUAAUUCAGUUAAGCACUCCGGAAGAGAAGCCCCCCCACGCAUUUAUGAUGGAAAAAAAAAACAAAACAUGUUACUCAAUGAGAGGUGCUACAAUGACACAAUGAGCCCACAAAGGGAAGUAGGAACUUCCAGCAUGUGUUUCAGACAUGCCAUUUUAUUUACAUACCACCAAAUCACAACAGGACACCUAAGGAUUCUUUAUACUGUAAUGUAAAGAUGUUGCAAUAAUAGAGAAAACCCCAACAAUCAGACAAUCCCCAAUUUCCAAGCACUUGAUGACAGUGGGAAUGAAAAACUCCCUUUUAACAGGAAGAAACCUCGACAGAAAGGCUAAAGGAGGGGUGGGGCCAUCUGCCGUGACUGGUUCGAGGUUACAGGACAGGGGACAAAGACACACUGUGGAUAUAAUUGCACUCUGUAUGCUC